CGGAGGUGGCGAGCGUUACUCGGAAUCAUUGGGUGUAAAGGGCAAGUAGGCGGCCAGUUAAGUGAGGGGUGAAAUCUUCCGACUCAAUCGGGAAAUUGCCUUUCAAACUAGCUGGCUUGAGAUCGGAAGAGGGAACCGGGAUUAGCGGUGUAAGGGUGAAAUCUGUAGAUAUCGCUAAGAACACCGGCGGCGAAGGCGGGUUCCUGGUCCGACUCUGACGCUGAACUGCGAAAGCUAGGGGAGCGAACAGAAUUAGAUACUCUGGUAGUCCUAGCCGUAAACGAUGAGUACUAGGUGUUGGGGGGUUCUCCCAGUGCCGCAGCUAACGCAUUAAGUACUCCACCUGGGGACUACGGCCGCAAGGCUA
rnacentral:rRNA from 1 species